rnacentral:rRNA from 1 species
AUUGAACGCUGGCGGCAUGCCUUACACAUGCAAGUCGAACGGUAACAGGUCUUCGGAUGCUGACGAGUGGCGAACGGGUGAGUAAUACAUCGGAACGUGCCCGAUCGUGGGGGAUAACGGAGCGAAAGCUUUGCUAAUACCGCAUACGAUCUACGGAUGAAAGCAGGGGACCGCAAGGCCUUGCGCGGACGGAGCGGCCGAUGGCAGAUUAGGUAGGUGGUGGGAUAAAAGCUUACCAAGCCGACGAUCUGGAGCUGGUCUGAGGGGACGACCAGCCACACUGGGACUGAGACACGGCCCAGACUCCUACGGGAGGCAGCAGUGGGGAAUUUUGGACAAUGGGCGCAAGCCUGAUCCAGCCAUGCCGCGUGCAGGAUGAAGGCCUUCGGGUUGUAAACUGCUUUUGUACGGAACGAAAAGACUCUGGUUAAUACCUGGGGUCCAUGACGGUACCGUAAGAAUAAGCACCGGCUAACUACGUGCCAGCAGCCGCCGUAAGAC